CCGAGUUGUAAUUUUGAGAACUGUUUUCUGUGCUGGACCAUAUACAAGUCUGUUGGAAAACAGCAUCAUUGAGGGUGAUAAUCCCGUAGAUGAUAUGGACUACCAGUGCAAUAUGAUACAGUCUCUAAGAGUCGAGUUGUUUGGGAAUGCAGCUCAAAGAGGGUGGUAAAUUCCAUCUAAGGCUAAAUAUAGGUGAGAGACCGAUAGCAAACAAGUACCGUGAGGGAAAGAUGAAAAGAACUUUGGAAAGAGAGUUAACAGUACGUGAAAUUGUUAAAAGGGAAACAUUUGAAGUUAGACUUGUUAUUAUUGGUUCAGCUUCUCUUUUUUAAUUAGGAGUUUAUUCCAAUGGUUGACAGACCAGCAUCAAUUUUUGAGUGUUAGAUAAGGGUCUUGGAGAAUGUGGCAACUUUGGUUGUGUUAUAGCUCCUGGCUUGAUAUAAUGCUUAAGAUUGAGGAAC
rnacentral:rRNA from 1 species